rnacentral:rRNA from 1 species
UACGUAGGGUGCAAGCGUUUAAUCGGAAUUACUGGGCGUAAAGCGUGCGCAGGCGGUUUUGUAAGUCUGUUGUGAAAUCCCCGGGCUCAACCUGGGAAUGGCAAUGGAGACUGCAAGGCUAGAGUUUGGCAGAGGGGGGGUAGAAUUCCACGUGUAGAGGUGAAAUUCGUAGAUAUCGGGAGGAACACCAAUGGCGAAGGCAGCUCGCUGGGACGGUACUGACGCUGAGGCGCGAAAGCGUGGGGAGCGAACAGG